rnacentral:rRNA from 1 species
CAGCAGCCGCGGUAAUACGAGGGGGGCAAGCGUUGUUCGGAAUUAUUGGGCGUAAAGGGUGCGUAGGCGGCUUGACAAGUCUUGUGUGAAAUCUAUGGGCUCAACCCAUAGUCUGCACGGGAAACUGUCGGGCUUGAGAAUGGGAGAGGUGAGUGGAAUUUCCGGUGUAGCGGUGAAAUGCGUAGAUAUCGGAAGGAACACCUGUGGCGAAAGCGGCUCACUGGACCAUUUCUGACGCUGAUGCACGAAAGCUAGGGGAGCAAACAGGAUUAGAUACCCGCGUAGUCCCUGUCUCUUAUAA